rnacentral:rRNA from 1 species
UACGGGGGGGGCAAGCGUUGUUCGGAAUUACUGGGCGUAAAGGGCUCGUAGGUGGCCAACUAAGUCAGACGUGAAAUCCCUCAGCUUAACUGGGGAACUGCGUCUGAUACUGGAUGGCUUGAGUUCGGGAGAGGGAUGCGGAAUUCCAGGUGUAGCGGUGAAAUGCGUAGAUAUCUGGAGGAAUACCGGUGGCGAAGGCGGCAUCCUGGACCAUAACUGACGCUGAGGCGCGAAAGCUAGGGGAGCAAACGGG